rnacentral:lncRNA from 1 species
GUAAUCAUACAAGCACACGAAUCACAUUGGAUAGUAGACAUGAAUAAAUAAACUAUCAAACCAAACAAUGUGGUCAAGAGUAUUGUAUUAGAGCAAGACCGUAUUGCAUUUGUAGUCCUAAACUGAAUAGGUUCUCCACCUCUUCUGAUUAGCUUGGGUAACCAUCAUAUGCUGCUAGGUGUCACUCAUGGUUUGUGGAAGCCCUAAA